rnacentral:rRNA from 1 species
UAGGGAAUCUUCGGCAAUGGACGAAAGUCUGACCGAGCAACGCCGCGUGAGUGAAGAAGGUUUUCGGAUCGUAAAACUCUGUUGUUAGAGAAGAACAAGGACGUUAGUAACUGAACGUCCCCUGACGGUAUCUAACCAGAAAGCCACGGCUAACUACGUGCCAGCAGCCGCGGUAAUACGUAGGUGGCAAGCGUUGUCCGGAUUUAUUGGGCGUAAAGCGAGCGCAGGCGGUUUCUUAAGUCUGAUGUGAAAGCCCCCGGCUCAACCGGGGAGGGACAUUGGAAACUGGGAGACUUGAGUGCAGAAGAGGAGAGUGGAAUUCCAUGUGUAGCGGUGAAAUGCGUAGAUAUAUGGAGGAACACCAGUGGCGAAGGCGGCUCUCUGGUAUGUAACUGACGCUGAGGCUCGAAAGCGUGGGGAGCAAACAGG